CGGGUCCCGUCAUUAUCUUCCCCGCUGAAANAGUUUUACAACCCUAAGGCCUUCUUCACUCACNCGGCAUGGCUGGAUCAGGCUUGCGCUCAUUGUCCAAUAUUCCCCNCUGCUGCCUCCCGUAGGAGUCUGGNCCGUGUCUCAGUCCCAGUGAGGCUGAUCAUCCUCUCAGACCAGCUACGGAUCGUCGCCUUGGUGGGCCGUUACCCCGCCAACAAGCUAAUCCGACGCGGGCUCAUCCAGCAGCGAUAAAUCUUUCCCCCGAAGGGCGUAUACGGUAUUAGCCGCAGUUUCCCGCGGUUAUUCCGUACUGCUGGGUAGAUUCCCACGCGUUACUCUCCCGUCUGCCACUGUCCACUAGGCCGAAGCCUAGCUUCUCGUUCGACUUGCAUGUGUUAGGCCUGCCGCCAGCGUUCGUUCUGAGCCAGGAUCAAAGCUUCCAGUUAACUGAAAGCUUUGAUCCUGGCUCAGAGA
rnacentral:rRNA from 1 species